CCAUUUUCAUUUGCUCCACCGAUAUAUGAUUGCUAUCAAGACGAAUCAAUGAUCCGGCCAUUGAUGAAAAUAUAAAAAAAUUUAAAACUAUUUUAAAAAAUAUAAAAAAAUUUAUAAUUAUUUUAAAAAAUAGAUUUGAGAGAAUUUUGGAAGGAAAUUGAGAUGAAAUUAAAAUUAAAUAUGGGUUUGAGAGAAUUUUGGAAGGAA
rnacentral:lncRNA from 1 species